UGGUGGAGUGAUUUGUCUGGUUAAUUCCGUUAACGAACGAGACCUUAACCUGCAAAAUAGUCACGCUAACUAAGGUUUGCGGAUGACUUCUUUGAGGGACUAUGAACUUAUAGUUCACGGAAGUUUGAGGCAAUAACA
rnacentral:rRNA from 1 species